CAGCCUCUUGGCUGCUUCACACAGGGUGAAGGCCAGCCCAAAGCCAGGUCUGGCUUCAGGGACAAACUGCUCCCCCUGCAUCAACUACUCACUGGAAACAGCUGAGGAUUCAAGCCUUUACACUCUCUCACCUUCACUCGUCUAUAUAAAGAAACACAAAACACAGAGCUGUGCCCUUUGAAAUAGGGGAAAAAAAAGAGAGAGAAGAAAAAAAGAAGGAUGUGGUUAUUUAGUAAGAGUACCGACAGAGCAUGGUCUCUAAGCAAAUGCUCUUGUGUUCUGUAUAACAGCCUGGACUGAAGCAAUCCUGCCAACCUUCUUGCUAGGAUUCAGAAGCUGUCGGAAACAAUCCUAGGGCUGCAGGCAAUUUCUUCAGGAAGCUCUUAGAGGACAGAAUAAAUUCUCUUCAGAAGAAAAAAUACGCUGCCUGUCUCUUAAGGAGGUGGAAUAGGAGUUGGGAAGUGGUAGAUCACUAACCCUGGCUUUGGUAUUUGGAAACACACUGGAGUCACCUGCUGAAGAAUCUGUUGCAAGCACCUAGAUGACAUCUCAGCAGGGAGAAAUGACCAACAUCAGUGGGGAAUGCAACUUUACAAGCAUCGACAGAUUAGCAGAGACCCUCCGGUUUGGGAUCUCCAUCCCCACCUUCAUUCUUGGCUUGGUUCUCAACACCUUGGCCCUCUCAGUAUUCUGCUGUUUUUGGAAGAAACAAACCAAAACCUCAGUCUACAUGAUCAAUCUGGCACUUGCAGAUGUUCUGCUGCUUCUCUCUCUCCCACUUAAGCUGCACUACUCUGUUGCAGAAGCACCCGGACUCCUGUGUGCCUUUAUACAGUCACUGUACUUCGUCAAUACCUAUGGCAGUAUCUUCAUCAUUGUUUGCAUUACUGUUGACAGAUACAUCUGCUUAAAGCAUCCAUUUGAAGGUAGAGCUAAUCAAUCCCCCAGGUGGGCAGUCUUAAUUUGCUGUUUUAUCUGGGCAGUAGCUUGGCUUUGCAGCAGCCCAAUAUACAUGUUUCAAAAGAAUGAUUCUUUAAAAUGCUUUCACAACAUGUCAGAUGAGGCCUGGAGCAUCCCUCUCAUCGUUUCUGUGGAGAUCUUUGGAUUUCUGAUUCCACUCUCAGUGAUGGUUUUCUGCUCUGCACAAAACAUCUGGAUUCUUCUGAGUCACAAAAACAGAGCCAAAGAGAAAGUAGAUUCCUUACGAGUCAUUAUCAUCAACCUUGUUGUCUUUUUGGUAUGUUUCACACCUGUCCAUCUUGCAAUCUGCCUACAGUGCCUGGUAAGACAGCACGUGAUAGUGGACUGCCGCCUGAAACAAACCAUCAGCCUCUUCAUUCAGGUGUCAAUGAUAGUAGCCAACCUCAACUGCUGUCUGGAUGCCAUCUUCUAUUACUUUGCUGCCAAAGAAUUCCGUGAAAAAACACACCUGAAAAAAAUUAUUGAACGAUGCCCUAUCUUUAAGCCUUGUGCCACAUGACAGGACCUUCUGCAGUGGAAGAAUGCUUCUUCCUCGGCUGCUGCUUGCCCUGCUGGUGGGACACUGACAGCAUUAUUCCCAACAUGGCAGUAAAGCCAGCUUGGCCGUUGCAGGAAGGGCACAGGAGGGAGAAGGACAGUAUUUUUCUCAUGAAUGUGAAUAUUUGUCUUCUUUUUUAAAGAUCAAAGGGUAAGAAUAUGGGGAAAAAAUAACCAGCAUUAUGAAAAUAUCAGUGACGCCAAAAGAAGCAUUAGCCUUGAUGCAAUCUACUAAAUCUGAAAAGCUUGUCAGAGAAAAACUGCCCAGGACACUGGACUGCCAAUUAAAAUCAGCCUUUGCCAUCACCACGAUGAUUUUCCUCUCAUUGAUGUGAUCAGAAAUUUAUUGCUCUGGGCCAGUCUAACCCAGAAAUAACUUCAACACCUUCUAGCCAACUUAGAAGGUAACUGAGAGAUACAAGAAAGUAUUUGGCCAAAAGUCUGGCUCUGCUCUUUCCUUCUGGAAACCCUGCAGAAGGUCUCUGUUGGAGCUCAUUUGCUCCAACAACUUGGCUGGCCCUCCCAUAAGCAUUAUAAAGCAUCAUGCACUGGGCCAGGGCUGUUCCAUAGAGGACCGGGCUGCCCAGUACAUGACAACAUCUCUUUAUACAACACCCUAUCUCGUGUAACAGCAACGAACAAGAAACCUUUCUGAUAAUCGUCGCUAAGGAACCAGCAUGGUUUUAUCCUGCAACUUUAAAGCAGCUUUUGCACAUUAGAAACAAAAGAACCCCUUCAACUACUGCAUUUAGUGGAAGACUGUACAUGUCGAAGCAUAGGUGAUUGUUCUAAGAUAUAACAAGAUAGAUGUAUAAAAUUUUUCUGCCUGUCUUCUCAUUCUUUCUUGGAGAAGAGGAUGUAGGGAAGCAAGCACAGCAUCACAAACAUGAAAUACAGUUUGGGAGCACUUGUCUGACACACUCCAGGCUCCCAGAUGGAACACUGGAUCAGCUCUAUCAAACUCAUUCCUCAGAGGAUCCUCCUAGCCGGGCCUUUCCAUUUCACAAAAUGUCUCAGGACAUGCCUUCAUCACCCUGAGCCAGCUCUUCUGACUAAAGUAACUGUCUGCAACGAAGCACGCAUCAUCAGACAAAGAAUGGUUGAAGUUCUACAGCGUCUUUCAUCUGAGGAAGUCAGAACGUCAUGAGCAGCAUUACCCCACAGCACACAGUGCUCGCAGCAGCGCCAGCUACACGGGAAGCAGUGCGGUGAGGCAGCGGGCAGGGGCUGAGCAGUCAGCAUGGCCCAGACCCGUGCCAGACCAUGCCCAGAGCAGCACAGCUCAUUGCCUUUGGCCCCGGCUGAAAAUUUGCUUUUGUGCAUUUCACUUUUAAAUAUCUAUUAAAUAAAAUGAAAUGCCAGCAGCUGUCACUGCAGUAUACUGCAUGACACGGGGAUCACCAGAGCAAAAUGCAUGCAGGAACCAUGGAUUUUUGAUUUAUUAUUAUUAAAUCUCUGCUAUUUUCUGCCUUGCUAACAGGCCAUAAGUGUCGCCUCUCUCCCGAGCACCCAGUCCCAAGGUGAGGGCUUGCCACUGAGGACUGCACGCAGCCAGGCCAGGCAGCAGGCCGCCAUCCACGCUAAGCUAUGCCAGCUGCCAAACUUCACUGCAAAGUGCCUCCCCCAGCAUCUGGCACUUCCUCUGCAUCAUGAUCUGUUGCUUUAUACACCGCCUACACGGAAAGCUGUGUGCUUACUUUAUGACUUUGGUGGCAACACCGUGGGGAGACUGGGCACAUCUGCAGACUUUGUGGCAAGUUUCAAAGCUCAUUCAAGAAGCAGGUGUUUGGGAGCAACCACGUCCUGCCAUGUGCUUCCUCUCACUCUGGCUCACCACUUCUUCAAGCCCUCCUGAAGCACAGUUUUGGGCCCCAGCCCUAGAGCUGCCCAUAGAGUGAGGGGUAUCCCUGGAACAAGAGCUCCCAUCCUGGCCAACAGGUGCUGCCUUAUGGUGUUCUCCUGGUCCUGCACCCACCUGGUGCACAGAGGCACUGCCAAGGGCAGGCUGCUGCUUCCAAGCCAGGAGGUUUGGGAAAGAGAAAAGACUAUUUUUCUCUUUACUUUGUGAAGUGCAACAGCAUCAAGAACAAGCAGAUUUCCAUGCUAAAAAAAAAUAAGGGGAGAACUGCUCCUUUUUGUUCUGUUUUGGAGCCCUAGUCUACUGCUUCUGUUUUCAAAUUUCCUGAAACUUGGCAAAGUAUACUUGUAUGCAAGUGAAGGACUUUGUUCCACAAUUAAUCUUCAUUCUGAGCAAGACUGCAUUUACCUUGUUAGUGCAUGGGUAAAACCAUGUUGCUGUUCUAGAAACUGCGAACAACCACAUUCAUGCAUACAAUUGCCGUGUUAAGAUCACACAAGAUCAAAGAGAAAAAGUGCAGCUUUGAAGAAAACACGUGAGAACGUCCAGCCGAAGGCAGGAGAGCGAACAGAGAAAGGCUGUAUAUUGUCCAGUCAUACAAGACAUAUGUAAAUAUACAUACAGCUAUUUUAUCUUUUGUAGAAGGUGCUGAAAUGAAACUAAGGUUAAUUUUGGCCUUCUGCAGCACUGCCAGGGCUCAGCAUCACCAUUCAGCUCCCCAGUGGUCCUCUCAGCAACUGUAUUUCCUGACCGGCUGAAAUGCUAAGGAACAGCUGAAGCUCCCUCCGCCGUCAGUGAAGUGCUUCUAACACCUCGGGCGAGCAAUUCAAAUUGUUAACAUCUGGAUUUCCCUCAACAAGCACUAGUUUCCCCUGCCCAAGGAUGGAGGGCUGCUAGAGCACCUGGGCUCCUGAAUGACAUAUCUGAGGCACUCUGCCUCUGUUAGACACCUGCACAUCUGUAUCCUGCAGAUGAAACCAUACCACUGCUUAUUAAGCAUCUCCGCUGCCCCAUAAUUAUGGCAGAUACUGAGCCCUGGAAAGGAGACUGUAUACGACUCCCUCGUGGAGGCUGAGAAGAGCUCAAAUAGGCAGUCAUUAGGAUCUAUAUUAAAUCUACUAAUUGCCUGGUGUUGUGGGAGAAAGUGAAAAUUUUGAUGCUUUUCUCAAACCUUUGAUUUGUUUGUUUACAAACAACCUAACUUUGUGCUACCGUUAUUUUCCCCUUUGCUCAAGUUUACAUUGGCUGGGGAACUGUCCUCAGUAUUUCUUGGAAUCGUAUAAAUGUCUGUGAAAUAUACAAGAUCCUAACACCUCAGGUUGUCUCUGCACUUGGAACCUUUCGCAGAACACAAGCUUUUCUCUUCUCCCACACCAUGUCUUUUCCAAAGGCAAAGAACUCCAGCCCCGUGAAAGCAAGGCUCACUUUCUAGAAGGAGAUCAGUUCCUAGGGCAGUUGAAAAGAAAUGCUGAAACAGCAUAAAGUCAUCAAAAUAGCUGCUAAGCUUUCUUCCGAAACUGUCUCUCAUUUUCAACUGCACCACAUCUUCUGAGCACCCUGAUGGAGCCAUAGAUGUCCCUAUUCAUUGCAGGGAAGUUGGACUGGAUGGCCUUUAGAGGUCCCCUCCAACUCAAAAGAUGCUAGGACUCUAUCAUUCUUGAGCAUGCUCAGCACAUUACAGCUCUGGCUGCAGAGAGAACUGCACAGAUCUCCAGCUCUCUGCUUCUAACCUACUGAGCUGGAACAUACUGCAAAGCUGAGCACACAUGGCACGACUUCUUUGAAACGGUAGGAAGUAAAGUAUAGGCUAAAAGGCCAAAACCAAACUAUGGCAAAUGUGGUUUGUUGUGCGUUGUUCUUUUAUGUAACACCAAGCACUAAGCUCAAUAAAGUAAUAACACCUUCAGACCUAUUUCCCUUUAGGUUUUUGUAGCAAGUAACAGAAACGCACAGACACCCUGAGAAUUAAAUCCUUUUCUAAAAAGUAGACAGCAUGACUUGCUUUGAGUUACAGACUUUUCUAAACGAAGCUAAAUCACAUCUGCCUCAUUUAUACAGCAAACCCU